rnacentral:ncRNA from 1 species
UAACUUGCGCAUGCCGAAGGUUUCCAUCUCUUCAUGCAGAUGAAGAGAUGGGAUUAAAAGGGAAGCCGGUGCGGACCAUAUGGUCCUAUUCCGGCGCUGCCCCGCAGCGGUAAUUGGAAACGACAUCGCCACAUGCACUGGUCCAGUGACCGGGAAGCGGCGACGUAGGCCACAUGCACGCAGCAUCCGCAUGCCGUCCAUAAGCCCGAAGACCUGCCCCGGCCGGGGGACCUGU